UAGUCCACGCCCUAAACGAUGCUUACUCGAUGUAUGUAUUUUUAUAUGUGCAUCCAAGGGAAACCGUUAAGUAAGCCACCUGGGGAGUACGUUCGCAAGAAUGAAACUCAAAGGAAUUGACGGGGGUCCGCACAAGCGGUGGAGCGUGUGGUUUAAUUCGAUGAUACGCGAGGAACCUUACCUGGGCUCUAAUGCGCGCGCUAUCUGCUGAAAGGCGGAGUUCCUUCGGGACGCAAAGCAAGGUGCUGCAUGUUGUCGUCAGCUCGUGCCGUGAGGUGUUGGGUUAAGUCCCGCAACGAGCGCAACCCCUAUUUUCAGUUGCCAGCACAUAAUGGUGGGGACUCUGGAAAGACUGCCGGCGUAAGCCGUGAGGAAGGUGGGGACGACGUCAAAUCAUCAUGGCCUUUAUGCCUAGGGCUACACACGUGCUACAAUGGCGGGUACAGAGGGCAGCGAAACCGCGAGGUGGAGCCAAUCCCAGAAAGCCCGUCCCAGUUCGGAUUGGAGUCUGCAAC
rnacentral:rRNA from 1 species